UACGUAGACCUCAAGCGUUAUCCGGAUUUAUUGGGCGUAAAGCGUGUGUAGGGGGUUUUGUGCGUCUUCUGUUAAAGCCCACCGCCUAACGGUGGAACUGCAGGGGAUACGGCAAAACUAGAGGAAGUUAGAGGUGCAUGGAACUCACGGUGUAGGGGUGAAAUCCGUUGAUAUCGUGGGGAACACCAAAGGCGAAGGCAGUGCACUGGGACUUUCCUGACCCUGAGACACGAAAGCGUGGGGAGCAAAAAGG
rnacentral:rRNA from 1 species